UAACAUCUCUCCCUCUUGGAAUUUUUUUUUAGGAUGGGGAAGGCGUCCAGAGUUUUCUUUCAUUCUUAUCCUACAGCACUAAAUUCUAGGCCUGAGCACUGUGCAACAACAGAGGGAUCUUCUGCAAGAAGAAAGAAAGGAAUGGCCCAAACAGUCUUAAUCUAG
rnacentral:lncRNA from 1 species